rnacentral:rRNA from 1 species
CGCCUCUUGAUUCCAAUAAGAGGUCCAGCCUGCCCAAUGAUUCAUUAAAUGGCCGCGGUACCCUAACCGUGCGAAGGUAGCAUAAUCACUUGUUCGUUAAAUCCGGACUAGUAUGAACGGCUUCACGAGGGUUAUACUGUCUCCCUACUUAAAUCAAUUAAACUAAUCUCCCCGUGAAGAAGCGGGGAUAAAAAUAUAAGACGAGAAGACCCCAUGGAGCUUAAAACCCAGAACCAAUUACAACGCUUCUCAUAAAAACACUGUAUACCUGGCUUCUGGUUUUUGGUUGGGGCGACCACGGAGUAAAACAAAGCCUCCACGAUGAAUAAAUAUUUUACUAAAGAACUACACCUCUAAAGAUCCUAAAUACGACAUUUCUUGACCCAAGACCACUUGAUCAACGAACCUAGUUACCCUGGGGAUAACAGCGCAAUCCAUUUCAAGAGCCCCUAUCGACAAAUGGGUUUACGACCUCGAUGUUGGAUCAGGGCAUCCCAGUGGUGCAACCGCUACUAAAGGUUUGUUUGUUCAACAAUUAAAGCCCU